GAAAUAUAUGUUCUAGAUAAUGACUUAUACUCCAUUGGUAAUAUGGAAUAUAAGUGCAAACCUCUUGCUUUUUCAACAUCUGAACGUGAGACAUGUUACAGAUCAUUUUUGACAAAUGACACAAAAAUAUGUAUUAACUUUAUACAUGAGCAGGUCAUAACACAUCUCCAGCUCUAACCACUUGCAGGGCCAAAUUUUCCAAGAUGAAGCAC
rnacentral:misc_RNA from 1 species